GAUUAGAGUUUGAUCAUGGCUCAGAAUGAACGCUGGCGGCAUGCCUAACACAUGCAAGUCGAACGAAGGCUUCGGCCUUAGUGGCGCACGGGUGCGUAACGCGUGGGAAUCUGCCCUCAGGUUCGGAAUAACAGCGAGAAAUUGCUGCUAAUACCGGAUGAUAUCGCGAGAUCAAAGAUUUAUCGCCUGAGGAUGAGCCCGCGUAGGAUUAGCUAGUUGGUGUGGUAAAGGCGCACCAAGGCGACGAUCCUUAGCUGGUCUGAGAGGAUGAUCAGCCACACUGGGACUGAGACACGGCCCAGACUCCUACGGGAGGCAGCAGUGGGGAAUAUUGGACAAUGGGCGAAAGCCUGAUCCAGCAAUGCCGCGUGAGUGAUGAAGGCCUUAGGGUUGUAAAGCUCUUUUACCCGGGAUGAUAAUGACAGUACCGGGAGAAUAAGCUCCGGCUAACUCCGUGCCAGCAGCCGCGGUAAUAAU
rnacentral:rRNA from 1 species